rnacentral:tmRNA from 1 species
GGGGGUGAACGGUCUCGACUUUAGUUGUUGGGGCAGGGGAAGCGGGCCGAGGAAGCCGGGAUGAUCUCGUUAACCAUGAAACCUGUGCAAAAAUAACUGCAGACAACAGUCGCAGUGAUUUCGCCCUAGCUGCAUAAGCUAGUACCGAAUCCGUCAGCCCGGGCGCGCUCUCGUCCCGGAACCUGGCGUCGCUAGAGAGCUCUUCAUCGAGAUAGCGUUGCGA